UACAGAGGGUGCAAGCGUUAAUCGGAAUUACUGGGCGUAAAGCGUGCGUAGACGGUUAUGUAAGUCGGGUAUGAAAGCCCCGGGCUCAACCUGGGAAUUGCAUUCGAGACUGCAUAGCUAGGGUGCGGAAGAGGGAAGCGGAAUUUCCGGUGUAGCGGUGAAAUGCGUAGAUAUCGGAAGGAACACCAGUGGCGAAAGCGGCUUCCUGGUCCAGCACCGACGUUCAGGCACGAAAGCGUGGGGAGCAAACAGG
rnacentral:rRNA from 1 species